ACCACCCCUCCCCUUCGUGCGUGCCUCUAUUCCGUGGAAAUCAAACCCCCAUCGCUCUCCCUCCUUCCAUCUUUAUUUCUCCCUUACAACAUAAACUCUCCCUCCCUCUCACGCUCUCUCUUACCAUAUCUUACCUCUUUCUCUCUUCUUCUUCUUCUUCUCCUUGUCCUUAGUGCAAGAUACCAACCUGUCUCCUCUUCCUCCUCAACUAAGGUGAACAAUAUCUUGGGAUCGGAGAAGAUCAAUGAGAAGUUUUGCUGGGCCUACUAAUUGAGGUGCAUGGCGGUUUAGGUUGGCACACCAGCAAAAUUUUUUUAAGCCGUAUGAGGUAAGAAUCUCUGAUCAUAACCAUCUG